UCGAGAUUUCGGCUUUCGAUAUAUCGAACAUUGAUCAUCGUUCAACAUUCUCGAUUGUAAGCAAUAUCAGAGCUGUUGUGAACAAUGGCGACGUUUCGACUAAAGUGACAUCCUGCUGGGCAAAUGUGUUUUUACACUUUAACGAUAACAUUCUUUUCUAGAUAUUAGUUACGCUCUUUAGGUAUUAGCGUUAAAGAUACUGCGGUUCACGAUGGCAUUAAACGCUAACGCACUGUCCAGUGACAUCAGCCGUAGAAAUCCGCAGGACGAGUAUGAGCUCAUUCAACGAAUAGGCAGUGGAACUUAUGGAGAUGUUUACAAGGCUAAAAGAUUAUCGAUGAACGAUCUUGCCGCCAUCAAGGUUAUCAAAUUAGAGCCAGGUGAUGAUUUUGCUAUUAUACAGCAAGAAAUCUUGAUGAUGAAAGAUUGUAGACAUCCCAAUAUCAUAGCAUAUUAUGGCAGCUACUUGAGAAGGGACAAAUUAUGGAUAUGUAUGGAAUAUUGUGGGGGUGGAUCGUUACAAGAUAUUUAUCACAUAACUGGACCAUUAUCAGAGAUACAGAUAGCAUAUAUGUGCAGAGAGACUCUUAUGGGAUUAGCUUAUUUGCAUAGUAUGGGAAAAAUGCAUCGUGAUAUAAAGGGUGCCAAUAUAUUGUUGACUGAGGCAGGGGAUGUAAAAUUAGCUGAUUUUGGAGUGUCUGCUCAAAUUACUGCAACAAUAAAUAAAAGGAAAAGUUUUAUUGGCACUCCUUAUUGGAUGGCACCUGAGGUUGCAGCAGUAGAAAGAAAGGGUGGGUACAAUCAAUUGUGCGAUAUUUGGGCUUGUGGUAUAACGGCGAUAGAAUUAGCAGAAUUGCAACCUCCCAUGUUUGAUUUACAUCCAAUGAGAGCUUUAUUCUUGAUGUCAAAAUCUGGUUUUAAACCUCCAACAUUAAAAGACCGUGACAAAUGGAGUCCCACAUUUCAUAAUUUUGUCAAAGUUGCUUUAACUAAAAAUCCUAAGAAGAGGCCAACAGCAGAAAAAUUACUGCAGCAUGCAUUUUUUCAAGGAGAAAUGAAUAAACGAUUGGCUUUGGAAUUACUGCAGAAGGUGUCAAAUCCUAGUCAUAUGUUUACUGAUUUAGAAGCUGAUGAAGAUGGAGCAGUACCUAAUGUACCACAAAGAAUUGCUUCAAGGCAUACAGCAAGACCUAGGCCAAAAAGCCCCAUAUCACAAUUAGAUAGUGAUGAUUUAAUCAACCUUGAUGGCAGUACAUUACAAAGAGAUUCUAUAACUCCCUCAGUAGACACUAAUCCAGCAUGGGAUAUUAUGGAUAUUAUGAAUAAUGUGAAGGCUGUACACAAUUGUGAUGUUCAUCCUGAUUGUGGAAUUGGCACUGCAUUUGAAGAUGUACAAGAAAAUACACUUGGCGCAAAUGUUACUGAUGGUAACAGACGAUCACGCCGAAGCAAAACUGGCACAGAGAUAUUUCAUAUGAGUUUAAGGAGUCUAUUGCAGUACAUUGAUGAGGAGUUGUUGCUAAGGGGAAAUGCAAUGUCGAUGGUUGGUGGGCAUUGCGAUCAGCUAUACUCCCUGCAAGCGACACUUCCACUUGGAGAAUCUUCAAAUGAAUGCGAGGUGCAUUGUGGAUAUUACAAUAAUGUAUCUGGGUCUCAAGCAAGUCCUAGACGUCACAGUUCUGUAGAUGAGUUAUAUGGCCUGGUAAACAGUUCUCAUUCCUUAACAGCUGUGAAUGGACAACGUCAAAGGUCUCUUUCAGAUAGUGGUCCUAGAGAUGAAUCUCUACAAUCUAAUGGAGAUAACGAAAUAUCAGGAGAUGGGGAAAGAGAAAGUAUUAGUCCGGAUCUCCUAUCAGAUACACCACCUGUACCACCAAGAAGAAGGGACAGAAAAAGGCAUACACCUCCAAGACCUAUAAGUAAUGGAUUGCCACCAACUCCAAAAGUUCAUAUGGGAGCAUGUUUUUCAAAGGUAUUUAAUGGUUGCCCUUUGAGAAUACAUUGUACAGCUAGUUGGAUACAUCCUGAUACAAGAGAUCAACACUUGCUUAUUGCUGCAGAGGAAGGAAUUUACAAUUUAAACUUAAAUGAACUUCAUGAAACUGCAAUAGAUCAACUAUAUCCUAGACGUACAAUUUGGAUGUAUGUUAUCAAGGAUGUUCUUAUGUCCUUGUCUGGAAAAACACCUCAAUUAUAUAGACAUGAUUUAUUAGCAAUGCAGAGCAAACAAACUCAUAGGUUCUCAUUGCAUAUGAACAAAAUACCCGAGAGAUUAGUACCUAGAAAAUUUGCACUUACUACAAAAGUACCAGAUACUAAAGGUUGCACUAAGUGUUGCGUCGGAAGGAAUCCAUACAAUGGAUAUAAGUACCUUUGUGGGGCAAUGCCAGCAGGAAUAUUUUUAAUGCAGUGGUAUGAUCCUCUAAACAAAUUUAUGCUUUUAAAGCAUUUUGAUUGUGCUCUCCCAUCACCUUUAAAUGUAUUUGAAAUGAUUAUCACACCCGAAAUGGAAUAUCCGAUGGUGUGUGUAUCAGUCAAGCAACCAUAUCAACAAAAUAAAUUAAAAUUGGAUUUAAUUAAUAUGAAUUCUGGAGCAAGCUGGUUCCAUAGUGAUGAGUUAGAGGAUAUGGAUGGUUCAGCAACUGUGAUACCAAGAAGAGAAAAUCUUCAUGUCAUUAAUGUGACACAACUUGAAAAAGAUGCAAUACUUGUGUGUUAUGAAAAUGUAGUUAAGGUGGUUACAUUACAAGGAAAACUCAGGGUAAGCAAGAAGCAGAUGUCGGAACUGCAUUUCAAUUUUCAGAUAGAAUCAAUUAUUUGUCUACCGGAUAGUGUAUUGGCAUUCCAUAAACAUGGUAUGCAAGGUAGAAGUUUUAAGAAUGGUGAAGUUACACAGGAAAUCAGUGAUCCAAGUAGAACAUAUAGGUUACUUGGUUCGGAUAAGGUUGUAAUGUUGGAAAGUCAUUUGGUACACUCAGGCACAUUGACAGAGACUGAAGGAGCAGAUUUAUAUAUACUUGCUGGGCAUGAAGCCAGUUAUUGAGCAUCCUCUCUUUCAUCUUAUUAUGUAAAUAAACAAGCCUCUCAUGCCGCAAGUGAAUUGUGAUUCACUGUUGAUUACAUACGAAUGCAAUGAUUUUACUGAAAAGAAUGUUGGAAAUUGCAUGUAACUUAACAGAAUUUGUAUUUAUUUAUUUAGAGUAAGUAUAAAUAUAGCGAUGGAAAACAAGUGUUAGCUUAUAUUUUUCAAAAGAGAAUGAUACUUUUCUUCUAAGAUUAUGAGAAUUAUAUGCAAUGUCUACUUACAAGCAAGCUUGCCAUAUUAUACAUAAUAUUCUUUAACGUCUGUAAAUUUCGUCUAAUACUUAUUCGAUGUAGUUACAAUAGCACGUAUAUAUAUUACAUAAUUUAACUAAUUAUAGAGAAAAGAAAAUACAACGAUUUAGAUACGAAAUAUUAAGCGAAUAAAUGGUAUAGUUCAUCAAUUCUAAAAAAAGUAACACAGCAUAUAUAUGUAUAUUUUUCUGGCAGGAACUAUAUAAUGUUAUUUUCAAUAACACAAUAAUUAUAUAACGUUAAAGUAACAUUGAAAUAACCAUUAGUACAAACCUCUUUUAUUAAAGUUUUAUUAUUAUAAAUCAAAUAAUAUAGAAUGUAUACUCCCCAGUAUAAGUUUUGGCUUGAUAGGCAUAGGGCUAUUUUGAAAAUGUCAAAUUUUAUUAAGACAUUGGCAAAGAUCAAUGUCUCUAAUUUUUAAUAAUGAAAUAAUAAUGAUGCACAGUUCGUAUAAAAAUUGCUGUUGAUGAAAGUAAUCUGGAAUUAUUUUAUCUUCAAAGAAUAUAUGUUCAGAUUAAUCCAGUUUAUAUAUUUAAGUUUAAGAGAAAUAUUCUGUUGAUAAUUAUGCAGGAUAUAUUAUCAACGGUUAUAAUUAAUAUUUGCGAAUAGCCUUAAACGCAGUCUGGUUUCAAAAAAAUGGAAAUGAAAUCAGUAUUGCUUAAUAUUAUUUAAUGAUGAAUAAAUGUUAGCCCAAAAUUACAUUAUAAUCAAGAAUUUAUGAACAUAAUGUAUCUGUUUGAUCAUGGAUAUAAUUUUAUGUUCAUAAUUAUUAUAAUGUGAUACAAAGUAUCAUGCUUGAAAAUAUUUAGAAAAAAAAAAAAAUGAAAUUUCUUGUGAUUGGCUUAAAGACUGGGAGAAAUGAAGUUUUUCGUUUGUGGUAUAUUGUAUAGAGAGGAGAGACUAUGUCUCAUAAGGAGGAAGAGUGCUGGAUUGAGUAGAUCAUAAAAAGUAAAACAACUUACUUAUCAUUAAGCUGUCGCACGAGUCAAGAUUUUUUUUUCUAAUCAAUUCAAGUUGAUUUCUUUUUACCAACCGCGAGUUUAUAUUUAGUCAACACAUAAUACACAUUUUUAGAAUUUUUAGAGCCUGAGUCUAGUCUAUUGUCGAUUUAAUCUAACUAAUAUACAUAAAACAUGAUAUUACAUUAUAGAUUGUAGUUUAGAAAUUGUCUCAUCCUUUUUUGCUUACUAAACUACACUUGUGUCCUUAUAAAAAAAGACAAAAAAGAUAUAUAAGUAUAGGAAGCCGUGUGAAACAAAAAGCAUGCAUCAACGAAACUUAAUUUUUAGACUAAUGAAUCUAGAUCACAGUUUAGAGACAGCUGAAUUGACUAGACUAUGGUUUCCACAAAACGAAUAAGAGUGAUCAGCAUUUUUAAGGCAACUAGCACAAAAUGAAUAUAAAAACUUAACGUAUAUAAUUAUUACGAUUAAGCUAAUUAUGUCAUCAAUUUUUUAAUUAUCAUGAGUCAUUGAUCUUUUUUUUUUUUUUACACACAUUAACUCUCUAUAAUGCUAUGUAAUUUUGAAGCUACGUGCACUUAUAUACAUAUCUCUUUUGUUUUGAACAAAAUAUUUACUAAGUGUAGGUUAUACUUAGUAUAUGUAAUAUAGUUAUACCAUAAGUUUCACAUUAUAUAAACAUUUUCUAUGGACACAAAGUAAAGAAGAAAGAAAGAAAGAAAAUUAGGUUAUAGAGGGUUAACUGUAUCAGGUAGCUGCAAUUAGUAAAUUUGUUCCAAUCAUUAUUUUGCUUGAGCAUGAUAUUGUUAAUUCAUUAACUGGCAUAAUUCCAAGUCGAUAUACUAUUGUGUCUUAUUUACGUAACCAUUUCUUGUUUCUGUUUUUUCUUUUUUUUUUUUUUUACCGUACAUUGCUGGCAAGUAAGAGAUUAGUAGAAGAUAACGCACGUUCGUGAAUACAUUUAUACAUGUAUUAUUAUCGUACUAACGUCGAUUUGUCGCGUAUUAUUUAUUUGUACACGUUAUAAAAAAUCGAAGAUAAGAUAGAACAAACGUGGAGAAUUUUUUAAGAUCGGAUAUAAUCGAUCUUUCGUCAUGAAGUCUAGCACUUUUCCACCUCUCCUUUUUCUCUAUUUUCCAAUUUAUAUAUGGUGUAUGCAUUAAUAUUUACUAGCUAUAAUAGAAUCAGGCAUACGCAAUAAUGAAUUAAAAAUAAAGGGAAAAAAAAAGAAAAAAAAACAGAUAACAGAAGGAGAAAUGUGUAAAAAAUAUCGUCGAAUGAAAUGAAGAAGAAAAAUUAUCUCGGAGAUGUUGAAAUAUUUCGGUAUUUUAUAUGAAAUUUUGCUCUGUACAUAGGAUAUAGACGACUGAAGAAAGUAUUAUAUAUUAUCAACAAAAUUUAUUAUUAUUAUUAUUAAUUAUAUUAUAUCGUCAUUAUUAUUACUUAUUAUUAUUAUUAUUAUUAUUAUUAUUAUUAUUGUAAUAAUAUUAGUGAGACAAGAUACAAGAUUUAAAGCUUCCUAUACUCGCGCUCAUUUAUCAUGGCGGAGCAUGGGUGGUAUUAUUAUCGUUAAUUCAUUGAAAUUAAAUAUAAUUCAUUCAUUACUUUUUCCCUCCUAUAUUUCAUUGUUAAAUAUCAUUGUUUCGACUUGAUUCAUUCGUUGUAUUAUCAUUAUCAUAAUAAUAAUAAUUAUUAUUAUAAUUAUUAUUAUUACUAUAUUAUUAUUCUAUAACGUAUUGUAUAGAGAUUUAUCGCGACGCUUUUGUUAGGUUAUAUUUCGUAUAUCCUAUCGACUACGUUUUCUUUGUUCGAUUUUUUUUUAAUUUACAUUGUUAAAUAAUACGAUUAUUUCUUUUACACCACCUGUGCUGUGACCUGAAAUAAUAUAUACAUACAUACAUGUUAUAUAUAAAUACAUAUAUAAAUAUAUAUGUAUAUAUUAAUUCACGAAGUUGGAUUCAUUUGUCGAAGAAGAAAGAGAAGGAAUAGAAAUAUAAUGCGUGCACGUAAUAAUUGCAUUUAAGUGACGAAAAGACAGAAUUUAAAUCGAUAAUUUGCUGUAUUAUUUCCCAUGCGUUGCCUUAGCAAAAAGCCGAAUGCCGAAUUUAUGCGAGAUGUAAAUAAUAUAUACGAAAAGAAAUGAUCUUACCCAAUUGGGAGGAUAAUGUUUGAUAAUUAAGCUGUAAUUAUAAUCGUUGCUGUGUUGCAAUCAAACACCAAAUCGAAUUAAUUCAAUCAAAUUUUUUUGUAAUUAAUUUUUGGAGAAGAUAGGGGAAAAAGAAAAAUAUGCACUUAACGAUAUAAAUUAGACGAUGACGAUGACGAUAAUGACGAUGAUAAUGGAGGAUAAUACGAGUUGAAAAGGAAAAUAGAUACAACAAUGUCUUCCCUAUUAAUCGUAUUAAAAAAAAAAAUAAAAUAAAAAAAAAAGUGUAGUAAUAUAUUAGGUACGUUUUAUGGUCGCAAUGCUCCGCAUUUUAAUAUACACUCUACAUACACAUACACACAUAUACAUACAUAAUUACAUAUAUGCGAGAUAUUUUACGAUGCAUCUUCUUUCGAAUCUUAACGAAGAGUACAAGCGUCAGAGAUCCAUAAUUAAUGAAUUAAUUAAUGAAUUAAAUAUCAAGAAUGUUUGAUAAGACAUUGUUGUAGCACAGAUCGUAAUAAUUAUUGUGUUAUGUGAUGGAUUCACGAUUGACUGAUAUGCGUAUAUGUUGUCUAUUAUUCAGGAAUAAUUUGUAACAAAAGACGAAAAAAGAAGAAAAAGAAAAAAAAUAAAUAAAUGUAGCACGUGUAUAUUCGUAAGAAAAGGAAAGAACGUCCUUUCUUAAAAAGGAACGCGCGAUCACAACUUUUGCUUUUAUUUAUUAAAAAUAAAAAUUAAAAAAAAAAAGGAAAUAGAAACAAAAUCAAUACGUGUGCAAUAUACAUGUUUAAAGUCGUAUGCGUGCUGCAUUGGUCGAAGCAUCAAAAUUUCAUUGUAAACGCUACGAUAUUCGUGUUAAAAAAACAAACAAAACAUAAAUAAUUAGACGUACAUACACACGUACAUACAUACAUAUAUACAUACAUACACACAUAUGUACGUAUGUGUCUUUUAAUUAGUUUUUAUUUUUUCGUAGUAAAGACGGUCACACGAGUUUUCGGUGUUAUUAUUAUUAUUAUUGUAACGACAAUAAUUUCUAAAACGAUUCCAACGUUAUUCUCGACUAAUAAUCUAAAAUAAUAAUAAAAAAAAAAGUAACAAGUAAAAUAAAAAAUAUAGAGAUGUAUCGGCAUGCAAGCGUAUAGCGCAACAAAAAUAAAAAAAAAAUAUUAACAGAAAACAAAGAAAAAAAAAAGGAGAAGAAAAAUAAUCUAAACGAAAAAGAAGAUAAUGUAAAACUUUAUGUUAGUUUUAUUGUAUGUAUGUGUACGAGCAUGUAUGUAGGAUUUAAAAGAAAUUUAACGACGAAUUAAUUCAUUGAAAAAUAAUAGGCAAAGAGCUUUGAUAUUUAUUAAACAAAUAGACCAAACGCGAUACGACGAAGUUAAUCGAGUAAACGAUUGGAUAAAAGAAAAAAGAGAACAAAAAAAUUCCAAAAAAAGAAAAGAAAAAAAAAACAAACUAACACAACACACAAAGGCAAAAAAUUUAAUUGUAAUUAAGAAAGAAAGUUUCCAUAACCUAUACAUACGCAGAUAAACACAUAUCCAUAUUCUGCUCACACGACCACGAGUUUAGAACGUCCUGAUAUAUAUAUAUAUAUAUACAUAUGUUUAUAUAUAUAUAUAUAUGUAUAUAUAUAAACAUAUAUAUCUCAUUUUAUAGUGAAUAGUUAAUGAAAUAGUGAUUUAUAUUAAAUCUAUUCAUAGAAAAAGAAGAGGAGAGAGAAAAACAGAAAGAGAAAAGAAAGAAGCAUUAGAUUCAUGUAGUGGUAGGACAAAUUACAGCGAUAAUUGUGUACCUGUCCACAUUGACCAGAUUGAUUGAUUGAUUGAUUGAUUGAUUGAUUGAUUGAUUGAUGGCUUUGUCUCUAGAGUAUACAAUGUAGAAACAUUGACAACAGUUUUAUUUAUAUACAUACAUGCAUAUUACUAGGAAUACAUUUUUCUUUAAGCAAAGACAUAAUUUGAAUCAUUUAGUUUGUUUUAAUCCUUAAUGAAAGAAUGAUGAACGAAUAAUGUAUUAGUAAAAGACAUUCGAAUAUUUUGAGAAACAAAUUAGGGAGAGAAAGAAAGAGAAAUAGAAGUAUAUAUGUAUAUGUUAUGUAUCAUACAUACAUACAUACAUACAUACAUACAUACAUACAUAUGUGUAUAAAUAUAUAUUUAUACACAUAGAUAUAUCUAUAUUUAAAUAAUGCAAAGCAGCUUUGAGGAGGGAAAAAGUAAUUUUAAAAAGAUAAUAUACGUGAUUGUAAAAAGUAUUCUCUCAAGACUUCGUUAGCUCAUGAGAUUAAGGUAAAGAUAUAUUAUGAUAUAUUAUAUAUAUAUAUAUAUAUAUAUAUAUAUAUAUAUAUAUAUAUAUACACAUACAUAAAUUUAUUCGUCGAUAUGUCAAUGAUAUGUUGUUAACCAAAGCUUUAGUGACACAUGCAUAUAGCAACGGAUACGAAUAUUCUUACAUGAUGGAAUUAUUAUAGAAAAUGGUACGAUAAUGUAACUCUAUAAAGAGAAGGUAGUUUUUAAGGAGUAUCUCGUAAACGAUGUUGCAUGCAUGAGGAUUCAUUUAUUAAUUACUGUAACAUUAUUCACAAUACAUAAAUGGAAUAAUUUUAAAUAAUAAGUAUGAAUCUUCUUUCUGUGCAAUGUCAACAGCAGGGACUCCUUAAUAAUAUAGAGACAAAUGAAUGUUAUUUUAUUCUUUAUAUUCGAAUCGUGAGAUAUGAAAGCGAACUCUGCAGGAUAUAUAUAAAAAAGAAAUAAAAAAAAAAAAAAAGAAAAAGAAGAUAAGAAAA